rnacentral:tRNA from 1 species
GAUGUGUAGCCGAGUGGUUAAGGCGAUAGACUAUAAAUCUUGGGAUCUUACCAGGCAGGUUCUUAUCCUGCCGACAACG